UUAGGAAUCUUGGACAAUGGGCGCAAGCCUGAUCCAGCCAUGCCGCGUGAGUGAUGAAGGCCCUAGGGUUGUAAAGCUCUUUCAGCGGGGAAGAUAAUGACGGUACCCGCAGAAGAAGCCCCGGCUAACUUCGUGCCAGCAGCCGCGGUAAUACGAAGGGGGCUAGCGUUGCUCGGAAUCACUGGGCGUAAAGCGCACGUAGGCGGCUUUUUAAGUCAGGGGUGAAAUCCUGGAGCUCAACUCCAGAACUGCCUUUGAUACUGAGAAGCUAGAGUCCGGGAGAGGUGAGUGGAACUGCGAGUGUAGAGGUGAAAUUCGUAGAUAUUCGCAAGAACACCAGUGGCGAAGGCGGCUCACUGGCCCGGUACUGACGCUGAGGUGCGAAAGCGUGGGGAGCAAACA
rnacentral:rRNA from 1 species